GAAGAAGAAGAAGAAAGGAAGAAAAUACCAAGGAAUACAAACAAUUCUACUCAGCUGGUCUCACUUAGCUGAUGAGAAGAAUAUAUACAGCAAGUUCCUCAAACUGAGCUUCAACUAUGAGCUCCAUAUCUCGAGGAUUUAAAACCCACAAUGCAAAGCCAAUCCUAAUACUGAGUCGUCGAUCACUUCCAUAAUUCUAAUGCUAUUACUUAAUCUAUAUAAUAUGCUCUAUCACAG
rnacentral:misc_RNA from 1 species